GACGAACGCUGGCGGCGUGCUUAACACAUGCAAGUCGAACGGAAAGGCCCUGCUUUUGUUGGGUGCUCGAUUGGCGAACGGGUGAGUAACACGUGAGUAACCUGCCCUUGAAUGUGGGAUAACUUCAGGAAACUGGGUCUAAUACCGGAUAGGAUCUCCUGCUGCACGGGGGGGGUUGGAAAGUUUCGGCGGUUGGGGAUGGACUCGCGGCUUAUCAGCUUGUUUGUGGGGUAGUGGCUUACCAAGGCUUUGACGGGUAGCCGGCCUGAGAGGGUGACCGGGCACAUUGGGACUGAGAUACGGACCAGACUCCUACGGGAGGCAGCAGUGGGGAAUAUUGCACAGUGGGCGGAAGCCUGAUGCAGCAACGCCGCGUGCGGGAUGACGGCCUUCGGGUUGUAAACCGCUUUCGCCUGUGACGAAGCGUGAGUGACGGUAAUGGGUAAAGAAGCACCGGCUAACUACGUG
rnacentral:rRNA from 1 species